rnacentral:rRNA from 1 species
AUUGAACGCUGGCGGCAGGCCUAACACAUGCAAGUCGAGCGGAUGACGGGAGCUUGCUCCUUGAUUCAGCGGCGGACGGGUGAGUAAUGCCUAGGAAUCUGCCUGGUAGUGGGGGACAACGUUUCGAAAGGAACGCUAAUACCGCAUACGUCCUACGGGUGAAAGCAGGGGACCUUCGGGCCUUGCGCUAUCAGAUGAGCCAAGGUCGGAUUAGCUAGUUGGUGGGGAAUGGCUCACCAAGGCGACGAUCCGUAACUGGUCUGAGAGGAUGAUCAGUCACACUGGAACUGAGACACGGUCCAGGCUCCUACGGGAGGCAGCAGUGGGGAAUAUUGGACAAUGGGCGAAAGCCUGAUCCAGCCAUGCCGCGUGUGUGAAGAAGGUCUUCGGAUUGUAAAGCACUUUAAGUUGGGAGGAAGGGCAGUAAGUUAAUACCUUGCUGUUUUGACGUUACCGACAGAAUAAACACCGGCUAACUCUGUGCCAGCCGCCGCAGUAAGAC